rnacentral:rRNA from 1 species
GACGAACGCUGGCGGCAGGCUUAACACAUGCAAGUCGAACGCAUCCUUCGGGGUGAGUGGCAGACGGGUGAGUAACGCGUGGGAACGUGCCCUUCAGUUCGGGAUAACCCAGGGAAACUUGGGCUAAUACCGGAUACGUGCGAGAGCAGAAAGAUUUAUCGCUGAAGGAUCGGCCCGCGUCUGAUUAGCUAGUUGGUGGGGUAAUGGCCCACCAAGGCGACGAUCAGUAGCUGGUCUGAGAGGAUGAUCAGCCACAUUGGGACUGAGACACGGCCCAAACUCCUACGGGAGGCAGCAGUGGGGAAUAUUGGACAAUGGGCGCGAGCCUGAUCCAGCCAUGCCGCGUGAGUGAUGAAGGCCUUAGGGUUGUAAAGCUCUUUCGUCCGGGGCGAUAAUGACGGUACCGGAAGAAGAAGCCCCGGCUAACUUCGUGCCAGCCGCCGCCGUAA